UCGGAACCGGCCCUUUGAAGUCGGAACCGGCCCUUUGAAGUUGAAGUCCGCUAUUUUCUGGACAGACGACGCCUUUACCUCCACCGUAGAUAUCGCUCUGGCUCCAAGCAGUCUAAGCAGCAAUAUGACCAGAUAUGUUGUACUUUGGCGUUUGGUGGUGAACUUCGAGGAAUCUACAGAUCAACUCUUAAAAGAAUAAGACAUACAACCAGUCCCCCUAGAAGUACAACAGAUGGAUCAUUCAUUCCUACCCUCCCUACAAACCAGAGGUGCUGCUAAAAGUCCCCAAGCAGAGGCUACGUGAUCACACCUAUGGCUGAGAAGGUAAAAUCAGGAACCCCUUUGCCAGUUCCUCGCCAGUUUCUGUGCUUCUUCAGUCAUCAUAUUCUGUGCUGCCACAGUCUCUAGUUUCUUGCAGCCGCCAGUUCCUGUGAUCUUGGAGUAAUAUUUAAUUUGUGUUAAAGUAAAUUGGUGUUAAUUAAAUACUUAAUUAUCUGUGAUUUCCCUUGUUUUCGUCAUAACUUUGAGCUGGUUCAUGACACCGUGCUGUAACAAUCACCAGUUCCUGUGAUCGAUCUUGAAGUAAUAUUUAAUUUGUGUUAAGGUAAAUUGGUGUUAAUUUAAAACUUAAUUAUCUGUGAUUUCCCUUGUUUUCGUCAUAACUUUGAGCUGGUUCAUGACACCGUGCUGUCACAAUCGCCAGUUCCUGUGAUCUUGAAGUAAUAUUUAAUUUGUGUUAAAGUAAAUUGGUGUUAAAUAAAUAUGUAAUUAUCUGUGAUUUCCUUUGUUUUCAUCAUAACUUUGAGCUGGUUUAUGACACCGUGCUGUCACAAUUGCCAGUUCCUGGGAUCCUGGAGUAAUAUUUAAUUUGUGUUAAAGUAAAUUGGUGUUAAUUAAAUACUUAAUUAUCUGUGAUUUCCCUUGUUUUCGUCAUAACUUUGAGCUGGUUCAUGACACCGUGCUGUCACAAUCGCCAGUUCCUG